AAUACGGGCCAAUGGGCGAAAGCCUGCUCCAGCAACGCCGCGUGAGUGCUGAAAGCACUAGGGCUGUAAAGCUCUUUUACCAGGGAUGCUAAUGACAGUACCUGGAAAAUAAGCCCCGGCCAACUCCGUGCCAGCAGCCGCGGUAAUACGGAGGGAGCUAGCGUUGUUCGGAAUUACUGGGCGUAAAGCGCGCGUAGGCGGCCUGUCAAGUCAGGGGUGAAAGCCCGGGGCUCAACCCCGGAAUUGCCUUUGAGACUGGCAGGCUAGAAUCUUGGAGAGGUCAGUGGAAUUCCGAGUGUAGAGGUGAAAUUCGUAGAUAUUCGGAAGAACACCAGUGGCGAAGGCGACUGACUGGACAAGUAUUGACGCUGAGGUGCGAAAGCGUGGGGAGCAAACA
rnacentral:rRNA from 1 species